ACGGAAAGCAGUCAAGCGGCGCGUCAUCAAUAUGGCGGCGAAUCUCGAGGAGGCUGGAGGAGAAAAUUAAUGUUUACGCGAGUGCAAGGAAUACAUGUCGCGAGACAGGACACGAUAAGACGUCGAAAAGCGCCGCGCUAUCAACCACCGCCACGAAACGUCGUCGUCGUCGUCAUCAUUGUCUUCCCGUUGACUUCCUCGAUUAGAUCAGAAUACUGGAAUUUGACUAAUGCCGUUACCAACCGACAUGGAAGCAAAAUUGCUGCGCCAGAUAGUUCUUGCAGGUAUGGCGGAUCUAAAAGAGGAUCAGGAUAAGGCCAAGUGGAAAUAUGCUUUAGAGGUUAGAACACCAUCAGAAAUGGAGGAACCUGGUUCAUGCAUUCUUCGUGCGUUCUACGGAAAAUCAGUCCGGAAUAGGUGGUUUAUAAAGAGGUGUACGAAACGAAUAAGAUGUAUAUGCGAGGUGUCACGGCGAUAGAACCCGAAUGAUUGCCGAAAUUCGCUUCCACGCUAUGCCAUCUUAGCCUGAGUUCCGAUAUUCGCUGCAAGUACUGAAAAUCUAUAGUUUACGUGACGUACAUUAUAGUUUUUCAGUACUGACAGUGAAUAUCGGAACGUAGCCUUAGUGAAUCAUUGGUUGAUCCACCGCCAAGAUAUAAUCAAGGAACCGGGAAGAUCAUUUGCCGCGUGUCUGGUACAUUUGGAAAGGCCGGAUGGGGACUACCAUCGAUGGAUAUAGAGCAUCUGUGGACGGUGUAAAGUGGUUCGCGUAUUUCUUCUUGGGGUGCGUUCAGAUUCCCCACCUGGUAGGUGAUCGCUGGGUGACCGGGUGAGUGGGCGGAGCUACCGAGAAGCUCCCGAGUGGUUUAUGGAAUUUGAACGCACUCGACGCGCUCUAUCUCUAUUCUCUCGUCACUACCGGUACAAAAUUGUAUCCCUUCUCACGUAAGUUAAC